rnacentral:piRNA from 1 species
UCAUUGUCCGUCCCUAUGAAGCAUUACCUGU